GUGGUUCCCAGCCCAUCUUCCCUCAGGCCGUCGUCCCCAAGUCUCUCCUCCGGCGUUUCCGCCCUUCCGAGGGCUCGCCGGGCGCUCCCGGGCCUGAGGGACCCAAGCCGAGCUCGAGGCGCCGCACACGGACCCCGACGGGGCCUUCGGCUCGGGGCUGCUCUGCCUGGGCAACCCUUACGUCGAGGACAGCCUGCUGCCGGCCUUCCUGAGGAGACGCCUGCCCGCCGAGUUGAGCAGGUACAGGUGAUAAGAGAAGUUCUGUUGCCUUGGAGCAGUACGGCUGCCUGGGAAACAAGAAGUGUUCCUGAUGCUUCCAACUCUGGACGACGUGUGAAAGCAGGAAAGCAUGUAUGGAAGGAGGGCAGAGAACUGAACCUCAGGAACACCAAUACCAACAAGGGAAAGGAUGGUUUGGCGCAGCCUUGAAGGCCAGCUGCAGAGGUCGAAGAGCCAGCAGGUAUGGAUAGUCCUUGGGGACACCCAAGAAAUGUGUUGAGGGGCAGAAGUCUGAGGCAGCAGUUGGCUGGUUUAUCAACUCAAAUGAAAGAAUUAGCUACCCAGGUCAGGUCCCAAGGGCCAACAGGGACUUCAAAAUUGGGAGCCGCCCCAGUAGAGUAUGUGCCAGUGAGUACCAGAAUCUUCUGGGUGACCUAAAAGAACCUCUAGUUCUAGGGACUAAUCUUCCAAUGGGCAAAAUACAGUAGGGGAACCAUUUAUAAUUAACUCACAUCUGUUUUAAUUUGGAUGACGAAGCCUUAAAUAUGUUCAGCCACCGUGGGCUCCUUUGGCAUUGGAGAUGAAAGGAGGACCAGCUGAAGGCAAGGUCUUCACUCCUUUUCCAACCUUGGGCUUGCUUGCCAGGUGGUGAACACAACCUGGCCCAGGCCUGUGCCUUAGACAUCCAUGCUGUGCAGAGGUUAAGGCCCACCUCACUCCACCUCCCCUGCUCCUCAGCCUGGAGAGCUGGCUGGUCUGCAUAUCUUAGGGCUUGGUCAGUCUUCAGUCAGGAACCUAAACCUCACCACCUGUUCAGCAAAGUGAGGCCACAUCAGUCUCCACAGGACUCAAGAGUUCUUAGAUGCCACCCCAACCCCAACAAGCAAUUUCUUUCUCUUGGCCCCCUUUCCCAUUGCUUUUAUAGGAUUUUAAAGCAGCAGUGCAGCUGCAGACUUGCAUCCAUUAAAAAAAUAUAUUUUAAGUUCAUAUAUGAACUGUAAAGUCUUUGAGUAGUGAUAAACUCGCAAAUUAUUUUAACUCAGAUCAGAAUGUUAAGGUGGAAGACCCAGGGCAGGGCCAGUCGUCUUCUAGUUUUAAUACAUGGUGGGACAGAAGCCCUGUCUGGCUCUGACCAUUCAGAAUGUCCACCAGAGACAGAAACGUCACCUCAUUUCAUGGACAGUGGAAAGGGGAGCACUUUCUAGUCACUCACUGUCAACGCCCUCUUUGUGGCCAGUGCUCUGCUCUAGAUAAGGAAACGCUCAGUUCCUCACCACCCACGGGCAACUCAGUUGGCGCUGCAGGGCUGGAUUCCAGCCCAAGUUUGUGGACUCAGAAACCCCAGGUUCUUUCCACCAAACGAGUGGUUCUGAAACUGGCUCUAGUGGCUUCAGAGGUUCCCUGCAAACAUUCGCUUCAAAUGU